rnacentral:misc_RNA from 1 species
GCAAACUUGGUCAUUUAGAGGAAGUAAAAGUCGUAACAAGGUAACCGUAGGUGAACCUGCGGUUGGAUCAUUACCAAGUGCAAAAAACUUUGUCCCCCCUUGUGUGAACUGUUAUUAUUUCUUUGGUGGCUCACAAAACAUGUUGGCGCGUCUUUUUUGUAUAGCUACUCACUCGACCGAGGUCUUGCGAGUGUCUAUGUUAAAGGACGAGACUUCGGGCCACCUAACCGUGUUAAAAUCCUUGUCCAAUGUAAUUUUGUCUCUGUGUAAUUUGUGAGAGCGAAUCUCCAAUUUUUAACAAAAACAACUUUUGACAACGGAUCUCUUGGCUCUUGCAUCGAUGAAGAACGCAGC